rnacentral:rRNA from 1 species
AGCAGCAGCCGCGGGAAAACGAAGGGGGCUAGCGUUGUUCGGAAUUACUGGGCGUAAAGCGCACGUAGGCGGACAUUUAAGUCAGGGGUGAAAUCCCGGGGCUCAACCCCGGAACUGCCUUUGAUACUGGGUGUCUAGAGUAUGGAAGAGGUGAGUGGAAUUCCGAGUGUAGAGGUGAAAUUCGUAGAUAUUCGGAGGAACACCAGUGGCGAAGGCGGCUCACUGGUCCAUUACUGACGCUGAGGUGCGAAAGCGUGGGGAGCAAACAGGAUUAGAUACCCCCGUAGUCCCUGUCUCUUAUAC